CCUUCGAUAGCUCAGUUGGUAGAGCGGUGGACUGUAGAUCAAGCAGCUCAAAAACUGAUAUCCAUAGGUCGCUGGUUCAAAUCCGGCUCGAAGGA
rnacentral:tRNA from 1 species